GACGAACGCUGGCGGCGUGCUUAACACAUGCAAGUCGAACGAUGAAGCCAGCUUGCUGGUGGAUUAGUGGCGAACGGGUGCGUAACACGUGGGUGAUCUGCCCCAAACUUUGGGAUAAGCCUGGGAAACUGGGUCUAAUACCGAAUAUGACCGAUACUCGCAUGGGUGUUGGUGGAAAGCUCCGUCGGUUUGGGAUGGGCCCGCGGCCUAUCAGCUUGUUGGUGGGGUAAUGGCCUACCAAGGCGACGACGGGUAGCCGGCCUGAGAGGGCGACCGGCCACACUGGGACUGAGACACGGCCCAGACUCCUACGGGAGGCAGCAGUGGGGAAUAUUGCACAAUGGGCGCAAGCCUGAUGCAGCGACGCCGCGUGAAGGAUGACGGCCUUCGGGUUGUAAACCUCUUUCACCAGGGACGAAGCGAAAGUGACGGUACCUGGAGAAGAAGCACCGGCAAACUACGUG
rnacentral:rRNA from 1 species